GCAGGGGUGGUGGAAUGGCAGACACGCUAUCUUCAGGCGGUAGUGAGCAUACGCUCGUGAGGGUUCAAAUCCCUUUCCCUGCACCA
rnacentral:tRNA from 1 species